CGGGUAAUAGCUCAAUGGCAGAGCAAUGGGGCGUGCACCGUAAAACAGAAACCCAUGACGGCGGUUCGAUUCCGUCUUACCCAC
rnacentral:tRNA from 1 species